rnacentral:misc_RNA from 1 species
AACGCACCUUGCACCCUUUGGUAUUCCGAAGGGUAUGCUCGUUUGAGUGUCAUUGUACUCUCACACUCCCGAUCUUGGUUGGGAGCGGUGGACUUGGGUGUUGCUGCUUACCGUGGCUCACCUCAAAUGGAUUCGUGCAUCUCUCGGUUGGACAUAGUACGGCGUGAUAAGUGUCUUCGCCGGCGCCUCACUGCGAGGGUGGCCGAUCGGGAGCUCUGUGCUUCUAACCGUCUUCGGACAACAACUGACAACUUGACCUCAAAUCGAGUAGGACUACCCGCUGAACUUAA